UGUCUCAACCCGCUGUCUCAACCCUCUCACAGCUACAGCUCCGUCCCCAGCCACACAGACAAACAGUCUCUGAAAGAUCCUCUCAGCAAAAGUCCACUCUUUCAACUCUUUCAACUUCAAAAAAGAAAAAGAUCUGGUGUGGAUCAGCAUGUGUGCAGACUGAGGAAUGAGUUUGGAGCUAAAGAAUGAGGAACUAAACACUGAGACCAAAACUGGUUCAUAUAUACCUGAUAUAUACAGCACAGACUUUCAACAGCUGCUAGAAUAACACAUCAGAUCAGACUGAGAACCACAAACUUCAUCCCCGGACGUGAAUCUGAUCACCAACUCCUCAUAAUGAAAAUGGUUCUGACUCAUCUGGACUGUCUCCAGCACCGCUGCUGCAGUGAAUAACACAUCAGAUCAGACAGAGAACCAUCGACUUCAUCCCUGGACGUGAACCUGAUCACUAACUCCUCAUCAUGAAGCUGCUUCUGACUCUGUCACUCCUCUGGACCAUCUACAGCAGUGCUGGAGCACUUCAGUGUUCCACGUGCUCUGGUUCAUGUACUAACCCAGUCCUUCUCAACUGUACUAAUGGAGAGCAGAUGUGUGGAACGGCGUCUGUAUCAGCUCUUGUCAGCCAGUACGUCAUCAGGGGAUGUGCUGGUUCCAACCUGUGUCCAUCAGCAGGACCUCACAGAGCUUCAUUUCAUGUUGGUGUUGCAUCUGUGCGCAUAUCAGCUGAGUGCUGCAACUCAGAUAACUGCAACAACAAGACUCUGCCUGUCCCCAUCGCUCUUGCAAAUAUCGCAGACAAUCUGCAGUAACAUCUCAGUGCAACAUUACAAUACAAUGUGAAGGAGUGGAGGACCGCUGUGUCCAUGCCAGAGUGUCGCUUCCAAGUGUUGGAGUCAACAGGAAUAUCUCUGGCUGUGCCUCUUCAAACUUGUGCACAACAUCUGCUGCAAUGAGUUUCCUGCAACUUCUGACAAGUGGGAACAUCACCAGUGGACCCAGCUGCUGCACAGGCAAUUUGUGUAAUUCUGCAACAACUUCCAGUCACUCCUGUUUCACACUGAGCCUGAUGCAUCUCCUGGUUGGACUCUUAAUUUUUUCCAUUUUCUAGGAUUUUUAUCUUUCAUGAAUCUCAAUCUUUUUCCAUCUGUGUUUGGGCAAAUUGUUUUGGUGUUUUAAACACACGUGCAAAUUUGUGUUGUAUUGAGCUUAAUUAAUCGAUCAUUCCACAUUCAUGACCAUCCUGUGAUUUAUAUGAUUGAAUCUACAAAGCAAGGUCUUUCAGAAGCUCACAGAAGAUGUUGAACCAAAUUAGCAUCAUCUCCACCUCAGAGCUAAUGUGCUUCUGGAGAUGUGGUCUAUAAUUGCACAGAAAUAUCAUAUAUACUCAUGGGUGUGGAACUUUGUCACAUAAUCACGUAUCAGUCCUGACUGGAUCAUUUUAAGUACUUUAAAUGUGGCUAAAUGUCUUGGGGAUGACUGGGUAUUAAAUAAACAAAUGUUUGGGAUUUAAUGAGGACAAUCUUAUCAAUUAAUUGUUUUUCUCUAAUCUUGUCUUCUGUUUCAAUUGUAAUAAAAUGGAAAUUACCUCAGUUAGCAUUUUAAUUUGCAUUUUAUUGGUUCUUUUCUUCAUUUUAUUGUAUUUUAAUUUGUCUUAUGUGUUUCAUCUACAGCACUUUGUGUCAGCUCUGUCUGCCUUAAGGUGCUUUAUUAAUAAAGUUGGUAUGUUAUGGUAUGGUGGUAUGGUGUGGUCACAAUAAACAGUAAUUGAAACAUUAAA